GGGGAACUGAAACAUCUAAGUACCCCGAGGAAAAGAAAUCAACCGAGAUUCCCCCAGUAGCGGCGAGCGAACGGGGAGCAGCCCAGAGCCUGAAUCAGUAUGUGUGUUAGUGGAAGCGUCUGGAAAGGCGCGCGAUACAGGGUGACAGCCCCGUACACAAAAAUGCACAUGCUGUGAGCUCGAUGAGUAGGGCGGGACACGUGGUAUCCUGUCUGAAUAUGGGGGGACCAUCCUCCAAGGCUAAAUACUCCUGACUGACCGAUAGUGAACCAGUACCGUGAGGGAAAGGCGAAAAGAACCCCGGCGAGGGGAGUGAAAAAGAACCUGAAACCGUGUACGUACAAGCAGUGGGAGCACGCUUAGGCGUGUGACUGCGUACCUUUUGUAUAAUGGGUCAGCGACUUAUAUUCUGUAGCAAGGUUAACCGAAUAGGGGAGCCGAAGGGAAACCGAGUCUUAACUGGGCGUUAAGUUGCAGGGUAUAGACCCGAAACCCGGUGAUCUAGCCAUGGGCAGGUUGAAGGUUGGGUAACACUAACUGGAGGACCGAACCGACUAAUGUUGAAAAAUUAGCGGAUGACUUGUGGCUGGGGGUGAAAGGCCAAUCAAACCGGGAGAUAGCUGGUUCUCCCCGAAAGCUAUUUAGGUAGCGCCUCGUGAAUUCAUCUCCGGGGGUAGAGCACUGUUUCGGCAAGGGGGUCAUCCCGACUUACCAACCCGAUGCAAACUGCGAAUACCGGAGAAUGUUAUCACGGGAGACACACGGCGGGUGCUAACGUCCGUCGUGAAGAGGGAAACAACCCAGACCGCCAGCUAAGGUCCCAAAGUCAUGGUUAAGUGGGAAACGAUGUGGGAAGGCCCAGACAGCCAGGAUGUUGGCUUAGAAGCAGCCAUCAUUUAAAGAAAGCGUAAUAGCUCACUGGUCGAGUCGGCCUGCGCGGAAGAUGUAACGGGGCUAAACCAUGCAC
rnacentral:rRNA from 1 species